AUUACUUUGGCAGAUUAGUGCUUUAAAUUUAGAAUUUAAGAAAGUGGGGUAAACACAAGUAAUA
rnacentral:tRNA from 1 species